GCCAACUGCAGAUGAGACCUUGAGGUAAAGGAUCUGAAAAUAAGGAAAACCCUGAGCUGUCAGAGGCAGGCGAGUCCACAGUGCAAAGUCAGCCCCAGAAGUUAUGAGAGGUGUAAGCCAGCAAUGAACUUUGUGGUGUGGACAACGGAACCCCCACCUGUGUCCGCUCAAUCCUCACCCCCAACUUUGGACGUGAAACCCUGUGUCUGCCUGAAAGAGUCAAAACAAAGUGAAAGAAGUCAUAAGGUGUGCCCCAAACUUGACCUGUCGUCCCCUUGCCUCCCACGAGCUUCGCGAAGAGGGAGGAAAAAAGGCUUCAGGGUUUGCCGCGAGGCUGGAUUAUUUUAUGGGGUUUGUAAGAGAGAGACUGUUUCUGAUAGUGAGUAUGAGUCGGAUGUCCAAGGGGCUUUGCUGAUGCUUGGCGACAUGCCCCGUCCUCGUUUGGAUUUGUCCACGAGCAGACCGGAGAUGAAGAUAUGAGCACGAGAGGUUUCUUCUUCGGGCAUUGCAGGAACACCUGCAAAGGAACGGGGGCAGAAAGCAAGGAUGAGCAGAAGCCUGGAAAAAGAGCGUCAGGCAGGUGACCUCUGCGGGCAGCGGGGCUCGGUUCUGCGGCCUCUGGCGCUGGCGCAGAACGUGCCCCCGGGAGUUUUCCCACCUGCCGCGCUGGCCAAGCCGACUCCCGCCAGAGGAAGCUCCCUGAUGGGAGAUGCAGGGGUGGCGAUGCGGGCCUCACCCUGCAAGCCCACGGUGGCUUGGAGUGUCCGCUGCCCUUCCUUUUGGAAGAAUUACUGUUCGCGCUCUGGUCACGUAAUCAUGUCAACAGGCAACAGCCACAGUGUAGCUCCCCCAGGUAGCCAGGCGCGACGAUGCCUUUCUCGGAGGGCGGGGUCUUCGCACGUGGAGUGUCCGCGGGCCUCUGGCAGAGGUGACCGGCCUGCGCUUGCUGCUACCAGAUGCCGCCCGCGGCCCAGAGCCUGCACUGUGCGGGGCGCCCGCUCCGGACCAGUCCCGCGGCGGAGCUGAAGGCCAAAUUGCCGAUCCAGCUUUUAGGCCUGGUUUUCUUUGGGACUGAUAGCCUCUUAAGAAGGAAUUUAGGUCCCAGGUUAGGGCAGUGCUGAUGGCCUCUCACCUCUCAUCACCUGGAGUCCUGGCCUCAUUUGCACGCACUGAAUGAAUGUGCAAGAAGUAAGUGAAUGAAUGAAUGAAUGAACGUGGCUGUCUGAAAGGCUACGAGAAGGUUUAACUGCGUCCGGAACAUACGUUCUGGGAUCGUAUGUUCCGAACUGCGUGGGAUCAUCAAUGUAUCCGCCUCCUCGGAUCCCCUGGACGUAAAUGAUUUGUGAAGUGGGCUCUGUUGUCUAGAAAUGCUAAGCCCCACAUCUACAGCCCUCAGGUUUGAACGUUGAGGAAGCCAACUCCCAGCUCUUCCUAGUCAACAAACUGUGCGUUUCCUUUAUUCGUGUGUGUGUGUGUGUGUGUGUGUGUGUGUGUGUGUUUGCCGCUGUAAAGAACGGGCCUUGGGAUUCCAGAGAAGGGUUGAUUUUGUGUCCGUUUUGUGUCUGGGCCGAGGCAUCGGGAAGCUCACACCAGAGACAACCCUGUGCUGGGCAUUCAGGGUCUGUGCCCAGCCCCGUGAGGUUUCCACCUGUGUUUCACACGUAAUCCACACAGUAAUCCCGGGAGCUAGCGUUCCCUUUCCUGAGAAGAGAAGACGCAGUUGGCAGGCCGGGAGGAAGGGGGUCAGCAUUCCGCGGCCGGCCUCUGGCCUCAGCACAAGUGGGGCUUCUCAGCAGCCAGGGCUCGGCCUGCGCUGCUCAGACAGAAGCCCGGAGCCCCAGGGGACACCGCUGUGCUGGGGGCGGGGAUGAGCGGCAUCCCGCUCCUUGGGCUUCUGUGGUCUGUGCUGACUCCAGGACUCCAGGUGAUUUCUCUAGUUCGCAUGGGACGGACGUUCCUGCUCACUGCAGUGUCCACAGCACGUCUGUGGACCUGGCAGGUGGUAUCAAAUGCCGGUACCCUGAGCCACGGCCCCCGGCUUCAGUGCCUCGCCCUCCCCCGGCCAGAGCCAGCCCCCAGCCCUCUGUGACCCCCGGCUUCCGUCAUCUGCUCCCAGAGCCGGUCGUUGAGGCAGAAGCUACGCUUUCCUGCCACGUCCCCCACCGCAGGCGCAUCGCCCAGGGCCCACGUGUGCUGUUGGGCUGCGAACAUGUCCAGGAACCACCAGGCAAUCGGACAAAGGAAGCUUCGGUCAAGAAUUCAUACUGGGAGACUUACCGAGGGAGGAACAUUUUCCCCAUUCACGCAUUCAUUCAUGCAACUCGUGUUUGAGGGGCGAGAACCGGGCGUUGUUCCGGGCCUCGGGGUACGCGAUGAACAGUAGGGGCACGUGUCUGUGCCCGUGGAGCCUUCACUCUUUCUUGUGGUCAACAUCCCCAAAUGACCGUCAGUUGUAAAUAACAGCACUUCUUGUAACACACUUAAACAGAAGAGGACUUCACUGAAAAUAUUUGGUAGCUUGCUGGAUGUCUGGCACGGCCAGCUGGUCAUGCUGGGAGGCCCCCGAUCGGCACGGGGUCUGCUUUCACAUAGUGGCCACUGGCCGCAUGAAUCCCCGAACCGCGGCCAGGCUGAACUGAGGCGUACUUCAGGCAGUCAAUACACACUGAAUUUCAAAGAUUCACCGUAAAAAAGAAUACAAACGAUCUCACGGGUACUUUUUAAUAUUGAUUACGUGUCGAAAUAACAUUUAGGAUAUGUGGGGUCACAUCAAAUAUGCUAUUAAAAUGAUCUCACCUUUUAAAUAUUUUUUAAGGGUGGCUAUUAAACAAGUGAAAAUAGUUUCUGUGGCUCGCUCUACAUUUCUGUUGGACAGCACUUCUCUAGAA